UUCAAAAAAAUCCUAAAAAAUACAUGCAUGUGUGCUAUCAAUUAAAGCUACAACCAACUGAAAAGGGCGCUCACUACCUGUGUAUGCGCGUAUAUUUGAGCGCUUGUGUCUGUACUGAUGUUAAAAAAAAGAGGCACCACAGGGUUGGCGUCCCAACCACUAGUACAAUCCAUUACGCGUCGCGCAAAUGGGGCAUCCUCGCGCGUGCCACAUCAUCACACGUACUGUUCAGCACAGCCAAUAGCGAGAGUCUGAUGUGUACUGGCCAGGAAAAAAACAAACGCAGCCCAUCCUCUCGUCGCUCUCGCCUGCCUCUCUCUCUCAAGCGCUCUCUCUCCCUCUCUCUCCACCUCUCGGCCGCCGGCCGAUUCCGGCCAUUGCCGGCGGUCUCCGGCUCCGCCCAGCCCCCUUUGUGUUAUCCUCGAUCCGUCCUAUCUCCUCCACCAACUCGAUUUGACGCUCGCCUCCUCCACCUGCCCCCGUGGCUAACCCUAGCCGCCACUGUUGCCGGCACAGGGCGCCGUUUUGGACGCCGGCGCGGCGGGGGGUGUAGAUGGAAGGGGGUGGAGCAGGGAGGCCGAAGACCCAGGCGGCGGACGCCUCACGGAGUGGAGGAGAGGGCAACGACAGGGACAGGGAGGAGCAGCGUCAUGGCUCUGCAGGGAAGGGGAGGGCCGCCGGAGACGCUCGUCCGCGAGCCUCCGAACAGGAAACCGGCGUGGAGCACGCCAUCGUAGGGGAAGGGAGGGGGAGACGUGGCGGUGGCUGGCUAGGCCAAGCCGCGAACGCCCAUCCAUGACUUCUGUUGGGGUCCGUCCCGUUCUUCCUCCCCUCACUCCGAUGCCAAAACCAGUAGCACUGUAGCAGCGGCAAGAAGGUCAAGCACCAACGAGGCGCACAUGGAUGCCGUCAACAGAUGGCUACCCCACGACAAUCUGAACUAGGUGGAAUGCUGCUCUGUUUUUCGGUCACUAAGCAAGUAUAUAGCUGGCCACUAUCUUAUACUCCCUCCAUUGUGUGUACAGGCAACAGAACAGAGUCUUGCAGCAAUAUGGAGCACCGACAAGGCAGGGAUGACCAUGAAGGGGUGCAGGUUGUUGGAUUUGAAGUCCCAUCAUCACCAGACUCAAGCUACAGCAACCCUAUCCCUGGAAACAAAGACGAAGCUCGAGAGCCCCCAUUGGUUCCUCCUCACCUACAGCAUAUACUGCUGAGCUUCCCGCCGAGCCAUGACGACGGGAGAAGCCUCCAUCUGCCCUCACCUACUCUAUAUUGCAGCUUGCAGCAUCCGAUGAGAAACCAAGUUUGAAAUAAGUCUGCAUCAUGGAGGUCUAAAUGUUAGAGAUAGAUCCUUGGUCGAGGAACUCUUUUCAAACAACAAGAUUCAGGUAUUGAUAUGCACUAGCACACUGGCUUGGGGUGUCAAUCUUCCAUCUCACCUUUUCAUAAUCAAGGUGACAUGAUGCUUCACAUUUUCCUCAUCUUCGACGGUCAUUUAUCUGAGCACUUACUCCAUUCUUUUGUGGGGUACUGAAUACUAUGGUGAGAAAACAAAAAGAUAUGUUGAUUAUGUUAUCACAGAUAUUCUGCAAAUGAUGGGUCGUGCAGGCCGACCACAGUAUGACCAACAUGGCAAAGUUGUUAUUCUUGUUCAUGAACCACAGCUUUUAUAAGAAGGUGGCAUGUUAACUUUGUGUACAUAACAAACAGUCCGAUGCUUAUUCAUCUUGAGUUUAACUCUCAUUAUUGUGAUUGUUUCAGUUCUUGUAUGAACUGUUUCCUGUCGAAAGUAAUCUGAGGGAGCACUUGCACCUUUACUUACCAAAUUUUUGUACUCCGAUGCCUCUAUGGCCAAGACCAGUAGCAACAGCAAGAAGGACAAGCAACAACGAGGAUACCUUUCUAUGAGUCAUUUUCAAUAUUUACUUGCUGUAGGUAAAGGGCAUAGAUUCAACUUACUAUGUCUGUUACGAACAGAGUUCCCUGGAAAUGUGUCAAAACAAAUAGCUGAUAACCGGCAAUUUUCCACCAAAGGAAGCCCGCGUGAUUUAGGUACCAUCUGCUCCCUUAGAUUUUUCUUAUUUAACUCUAUCAUGUUAAAUAUUAUGCAGCUUGCUAGUGUUAUAUAUUUAGUCGCUUAUAUGAUGUCUGUUUGGUCGUUGCUCUAGCCUCAGAUCCAAGAAAUCUGUCUGUUUGUCUAUUUGACCAAAAUAAUCUGUGUUGCUUUAAAGUCUAGUAAACAAACAAACAACUUCGAUGCAUGCCCAUGUCUUUUAGUUUCACUUGCAUCCAAUAAAUAUAAUUUUGACACUUGUUGUGUUGGUGUGCUGCUCAAUUAUCUCCCAUCGUGUUCUGUACUAAAUAUGAGGAAAUAAGAUGAUCCAUGUAUUUUUGUUUUCAAGAAGAUAGAUCAUAACUGCUGUGUGAUAAUUAUUAUUUUUAUAUCUUUCUGUAGGUUUUAUAUUUCUGCGGAUUUAUGUGAUUGGACCUUAUCUUUGAUUUAUUUUAUGAAUGUACAUUACCACUAAUGGUCCUGUAACUGGCUAACUGCUACACAUUGCUGAGCUUAAACUGUAAUCAAAGUUCAGUUCAUCACAUGAGUUUAUGAGGGACAACCUUUGCCAUGAAAGCUAACGUAUGCCCAAAUGAUACAUAGAAUUGCAGAUUUUACUUCCUAAUGCAGAUGUCAUACUGAUUGUGAUUCUCGGCUAGAAAUUCCACACCAGACAUCUCAUUGUUUUUGUUUCUUCUCAACCUAAUGGUUACAGUUCUAGGAACAGGGUAUAGCAUAUCCAUAAAUUUCCUACAGCCAUGCCCGUCUUAUAUACUCUUGGGUGUUCAUAUACUCUUGGGUGUUCAGUCACUCUAAUCAACUAGGUCAUAAUGGAGCAGAGCCGAGGUAGUAAUCAUGUACAGUUAUAUGCUUGCUUGGUUGCCAUUAAAUCACACCAUCAUGUCUGUAAGGCAGGUCAUGUGGGUCCCUAUUUUAUCAUGUCCAGGUCUUGAGUUAACUUGAUUGCUUGAAACAAACCUACAUCGUCAGAAGUUCAAAACUGAACCUGUAUAAAAAUAUCGUUUAAAGGAAAUAUAGUGCUGUAGAGGUUAGACUUUGUUGAGCCACAUGUGUUGAAGUUUGUGUAUAACUAUGUCAUGUAAAUGGAAUAGUCUUAAGUAGAGGUUUACCCUCGAUGAGCUACAUGUAUUCAGUAUGUUGUACUGAUCAUCUGUUUUCUUUGGUGCAGCGCUGACUGAGCCUAUUGAUAUGUAACUUGAAUCCAACGAAGAAAUCUUUACUCUAUAGAGUUGGUGCAACUACGUUAGGCUUAUCCGGACCUGGAACUAAGGAUUGAAUUCCUUUUCCUGCAGAUACAGUGAAUAGGUCGACAAGUGUGAGCGCGUCAACAUUGUCGACGAUGAGGAUGGUGGGUCGACUUGCAAACGAAGUGGUUACUAUUAUGACUGUAUUGCAUUGGUGUUAUGGCUGCCACCUUCAGCUACUGUGGGUUCCGCCACGCUCAGGUAUGCCCAUCUCCAUUGCCUUUCUCUGGAUUCACUGCCCCUCUUGGUUUCUGAUUAUUGUUUGUUCUCAUAUACUCUCGAAUUUCCAUGAGUGCGAUCUGAUGAACGAGUAUCCCGUGUCUGCGGCAACUCGCAUGGCCUGAUCCGGAAGUACGGGUGUGCUGCAGGCAUUGCUUCCGCACCAACGCCGAGGACAUUAGCUUCAUCGAGUUAUGAGCCACCCCGCUGUUUAUUGAUUCCCUGAAUCAUGUGCCUGAGUUUGAUGACUGCUGAGUAGUAAUAUGUUACCCCAUGCUUUGCUUUGAACAAUAUAUAUGCUUUGUCUACAAGGCCUCUUGGGAUGGCGCACCAGUUUUAAUUUGUUGGAGACUACCAUCUGGUAGUGUGAGUUAUUGCAUAAUGUAGUGUAAUGUAUGAAAUGUUAGAUCCAGUUAUUCAGGUUAAGUUCUGUGAUCGUCACCUCAUGUUCUGCCCACCAGUUUUAAUUUGUUGGAGACUACCAUCUGGUAGUGUGAGUUAUUGCAUAAUGUAGUGUAAUGUAUGAAAUGUUAUAUCCAGUUAUUCAGGUUAAGUUCUGUGAUCGUCACCUCAUGUUCUGCCUUGCAUUAUUUUGUAUCUGUUUGAUGAAUAUGUAAUUUCUAAGCACCAUAAGGCAUCUUGGAAUGGACCGAGUUGUGCAUGACUACAUGAUAUUAGCUAUGUUUGUUUGCUGUUCACACCUGUAUAAGUCUUACUCUGGUGCAUCUAUCUCCCGUCUCAGCCAUUUUUACUAACCGUCACCUACCAAGUUUUUUUCUCAGCAUACCAGUGCAUUUCAAAGCAGAACAAAUUGAGUGUAUUGCAAUUGCUCAAAUAUUUAUUAAGUAGGUAUAUAUACAUUGCAUAUAUUUAUUUCCUAAAUAACGAUGAUUUCUUAGAAAUUGAGAUGAUUUUCUUUUGAAGAAUGUUGUUUUCAUUUCUCCAUUUUUAUCUCAUUAAUUGUAGGUUUUAUGCUUCAGUUUUUAGGUUUGGGUGAAUUAUUUUUCAGAUGCAUAUGUUGUGUCUGAAUACCUGAAUGUCUGUGUGUAGCUAAUUUCUUGUAUUCAUGUUCUUUUGUAUCAUCCCAAUCUUUUUAUACCGAUAGUGAUAGCUACAUUUGCGCACUUGUUUAAUAGUACCAUUAAGAAUGGAAACCUCAAAGGAAGCAAGGACUAGGAAAUUAUCAUCAAACUGUGGUGUUUCAUGGAGGCCGACCUUUAUCAACAAUGAAGUAAUUGUACCUGGAAAUUGCUUUGAAAUUUUCAAUGCUUUGGAGCUAACUCAUGCUAUAAUUUUGCAGGUAAACCACAUGAUAUUGUUUUCCAGUCGCAUGUUUUUCCUGCACAAACCAUACAAAUUUUAUGAGCUUGCUUCACUACUAUAUGCAAAGGCGCUUCUCUGUCCAGAUCCGUGGCCACCACAUCGCCAUCAACGUCGGCGGCGUUCUGGAAGUGUCAGGGCGGCGGGUCGCGCCUUGCCCAUGUUGUCGUUGACGAUCCACCUGGACGACGGCCGACUGAGAGUUGCGCAGGAACUACAUGUUCGAGGACCACGGCUUGCGCACUGUGUUUCUUAUCACUGUUUGAACUAUGUGUGUCGUACAAUGCUUUAUUUUUGAAACCUUGUUGUCAGUUCCUUUUACCGAAAAAGGAUUUCCCCCGCUUUAUAUUAUAAAGCACCAGACACCGAUCAUAGGGUAACUGUCGGGGCGAACGGCACAACAAGCCCAAAAGGGAAAAAGAAGAAGAAAUAAAAGCCAACAACGACAGCUCGGAAAGCACAGAUGAUCCGCCACCGCUGCGCCCUUCAUCCAUGUCCCACCACACGCCAUGGCACCGGCCCGUUGCAUACCAAGCAGCACCUCCAAGAAGGAAUGCAACGCCAACGCCGCUGCUGCCCGGAAGUGUCCUAGGGUUUCCUCCGGCAUACGGAGGGGAGCGGGGGAUGGGUAGCGCCGACACCCUUCAAGAAGGAACGAUGGCAUCCUCAGGUGUCACCGC